rnacentral:rRNA from 1 species
UACGGAGGGUGCAAACGUUGCUCGGAAUCAUUGGGCGUAAAGCGCACGUAGGCGGUCCCUUAAGUCGGGUGUGAAAGCCCUCGGCUUAACCGAGGAAGUGCAUUCGAAACUGGGGGACUUGAAUACUGGAGAGGAUGGCGGAAUUCCCGGUGUAGAGGUGAAAUUCGUAGAUAUCGGGAGGAACACCAGCGGCGAAGGCGGCCAUCUGGACAGAUAUUGGCGCUGAGGUGCGAAAGCGUGGGGAGCAAAC